UAAUAAAUUUGAAAAAAAAAAAAGGAAAAAAAUAUUUUUUUAAAAAAAAAAAGGAAAAUAGAAGGUUUGCUGCCUGCAGCCCUCUCCUAAAGAAAUGGGAGGGGAAGGACAAGAAUAAUAGCGGCCGAGCCUACCUCCGGCUCAGCAGGGAGGCUGUCUCUCUCCCUCCCUCCUUCCCUCGUGGCCGCGGGGCUGGGCUCCGGGAGGGAGGGGCGCUGAGCGCACCCCAAUGUACAUCCUAGCAAAUGGGCUGGAUGCGGGGAGAGCAGGAAGGGCUGGAGGUGCUUCCUGGGGGGGGGGAAAAAAUAAAAAUGAGAGAGCCCUGAUUUUCACGCUGCAAAGUGAAAGCACCUGCAGCCUGGGGAAACUCAUUCAUUCAAUGGCAGGAAGGGGGGGCUGAGCUAAUAGCAUCGCUCGUCCUUCACCGCCUCCUGCUCGCUCCCAGAGCCAUAACGGGGCUGACAUCAGGUGGAAACACCCUGCGCUGGGUCGUAUCUAGUGCCUGUGCCUGACCUUGAAUCUUUAACUUGGACGGGAAGGAAAGUGCUUUGUGCAAGGGCCACGGCUCCACGCAAUGCACAUCACAAGCUCUGCAGCCACCUUGGAGCGCCCGAAGGGCAGCACCAGACUUUGCACAUCAGACACUGCGGUGGAAGGCCACAAACCAUGUGGCAGAGGAGUAGGGUCCCACCUGGAAAUGGUCUUGUAAUUUGGUGCCCUGACUCUGCCCUGUAUCCCCAGCAAGAGCCCAGGAAAACAUGAUAGAAGUGCAAGUGAAGGAGGUGCAGGCAGCAGAGCAGAGAAGCAGCAGCAGAAGUCAAGAGAGCAUCAUCCUGAUGAUGAGAGCUGACAGCCUCAGCAAGACAAUCCAGCCACGAGCAGCCUCAUUUUCCAUCUCGCAGAGGGGAAGCCAAAGCAAAGCGAAAUGGCUGGUCCCAACCAAAAAUAGGACCUGGAGCACCCGACAGCGACGCCUCUGCUUCAACUGUUUGUUCGCUCCGCUUCCCUGUUGCCUAGGGAGACAGCGUGUCACCAGGAGAAAGGAGCCGCAAGAGAAGGUGCCUCUUGAGUCCUUCUCUGGACUCCAACAGAAGGAGCUUCACCAGACUUCACCCCGACCCACCAGCUCUGCCAGUUCACAUCCUCGGUCUGAGGCUUUCCCCUUAUUGCAAUGCUAGUGGUGAUGGUGACCACCCUUUGCUAGCUCCAGAGAGACCAACGAGAAGUGCUGCCCACAGCCCGGCGUUUUGUAAGGCGGGGGAGUGUAAAUUUAAAGCAGUUUUGAAAAAAAAAAAUCCUCUUUAAUGUUUUCAGAUGAAUUUCAGAUCUAAUACAGCUCAGCAAUUAAACCUUGUCAUUUGUGAUCAACUGCACAAUUUUCUGCUCUAUCUUCUAUAAUUUGUUCUUGUUGCUAAAACCUCUAUGUAAACAUUUAAUUUACCGUCCUACGUCUAUGUUACGACAAAGAAGGUCAGCAAGUUUGGGGUUACAUUUUGCCUGCCAGUAGCCCGUGGCUCGAUGCCAUUUCCUGCCCUCAGGUUCGUAUUGUUGCAGGACCAGUGCCCAGCUCCGACACGCGACGUUGAGAGCUGGCACGUUGCUCAUCGCCUCUGCGUUUCAGAAGCAGAAGGCUCGAAUCUUAAAAGCACUUUUUUCUUAUAGAAUCAUAGAAUGGCCUGGGUUGAAAAGGACUGUAAAGAUCACCUAGUUUCAACCCCCCUGCUCUGGGCAGGGUUGCCAACCACCAGAGCAGGCUGCCCAGGGCCUGGUUACUUCUUGAAAACACCGUCAUCCCAAGGGAUCUUCAUUCAAAUAGCCAUAUAUUAUGAUGACCACUAUACUUUCUUUGUUCAAAUAGCCAUAUAUUAUAAUGACUACCAUAUUUGUGUCCCAGUGGCGACCUGGGGCAUCCCACCACCAGAGGCUGUGGCGCCAGGCAUGGCGCGCUCCCCGAGGCAGCAGGCCUGCACCCCGGGGUUGGGCUUCCCUCACACCUACGGGCUUUGCAACGCUGAUGUAAGACUGAGAGGAGAAUCGAGCUUAUUGGCUUCAAUGAGAUGAAACUAGAAAAGUUUCCCAGCUCUUAAGUCACUUCCUUGAGUCAUUUUGGCAAGCCUGCCUUUCUGACUAAACUUUCUCAGGGGAAUUUUCAGAGGCAGAGGGAAAGAUCAGCCGGGA
rnacentral:lncRNA from 1 species